rnacentral:rRNA from 1 species
GAUGAACGCUGGCGGCGUGCCUAAUACAUGCAAGUCGAGCGAACGGACGAGAAGCUUGCUUCUCUGAUGUUAGCGGCGGACGGGUGAGUAACACGUGGAUAACCUACCCAUAAGACUGGGAUAACUUCGGGAAACCGGGGCUAAUACCGGAUAAUAUUUUGAACCGCAUGGUUCAAAAGUGAAAGACGGUCUUGCUGUCACUUAUGGAUGGAUCCGCGCUGCAUUAGCUAGUUGGUAAGGUAACGGCUUACCAAGGCAACGAUGCAUAGCCGACCUGAGAGGGUGAUCGGCCACACUGGAACUGAGACACGGUCCAGACUCCUACGGGAGGCAGCAGUAGGGAAUCUUCCGCAAUGGGCGAAAGCCUGACGGAGCAACGCCGCGUGAGUGAUGAAGGUCUUCGGAUCGUAAAACUCUGUUAUUAGGGAAGAACAUAUGUGUAGGUAACUGUGCACAUCUUGACGGUACCUAAUCAGAAAGCCACGGCUAACUACGUGCCAGCAGCCGCGGUAAUACGUAGGUGGCAAGCGUUAUCCGGAAUUAUUGGGCGUAAAGCGCGCGUAGGCGGUUUUUUAAGUCUGAUGUGAAAGCCCACGGCUCAACCGUGGAGGGUCAUUGGAAACUGGAAAACUUGAGUGCAGAAGAGGAAAGUGGAAUUCCAUGUGUAGCGGUGAAAUGCGCAGAGAUAUGGAGGAACACCAGUGGCGAAGGCGACUUUCUGGUCUGUAACUGACGCUGAUGUGCGAAAGCGUGGGGAUCAAACAGGAUUAGAUACCCUGGUAGUCCACGCCGUAAACGAUGAGUGCUAAGUGUUAGGGGGUUUCCGCCCCUUAGUGCUGCAGCUAACGCAUUAAGCACUCCGCCUGGGGAGUACGACCGCAAGGUUGAAACUCAAAGGAAUUGACGGGGACCCGCACAAGCGGUGGAGCAUGUGGUUUAAUUCGAAGCAACGCGAAGAACCUUACCAAAUCUUGACAUCCUUUGACAACUCUAGAGAUAGAGCCUUCCCCUUCGGGGGACAAAGUGACAGGUGGUGCAUGGUUGUCGUCAGCUCGUGUCGUGAGAUGUUGGGUUAAGUCCCGCAACGAGCGCAACCCUUAAGCUUAGUUGCCAUCAUUAAGUUGGGCACUCUAAGUUGACUGCCGGUGACAAACCGGAGGAAGGUGGGGAUGACGUCAAAUCAUCAUGCCCCUUAUGAUUUGGGCUACACACGUGCUACAAUGGACAAUACAAAGGGCAGCGAAACCGCGAGGUCAAGCAAAUCCCAUAAAGUUGUUCUCAGUUCGGAUUGUAGUCUGCAACUCGACUACAUGAAGCUGGAAUCGCUAGUAAUCGUAGAUCAGCAUGCUACGGUGAAUACGUUCCCGGGUCU